UAUUGUAGAGAGAGUGGCUCUUAUUUUGGACACCUCUUUGAUGAAAUAUACCUUUAUUUUAAUUUACUGCAUGCUAGCUUGUUUGAAUCAAGACGGAUUUAUUCAGCGUGUCGAUUUUAAGAGAGCCCCCAUUGGCAGAGCUGUCUUCAUUCGCUGCUCCUCAAAGACCUCUCCCAGAGCCUCCCCCUUGUGUUUCUUGGGCGGGCUCUUUGAAGUCAAACCCCAUUCAACUAAAGCGCAAUUUCUGUAGUGGAGAGGGUCUUCCUUUGCAGGCAGAUCGGCGAGGGAUUCAAUUGGAACAUCCAGAGGGUCUCCCCCGUCAACAAACAUGGUGUGAAUCCUUGACGAUCCCUUCAGCUGGAUUACAUGGGCUACUUCCUGGAGAAGAAGAAGAAACAUGAACAGAAUCAGUGAUUGUUGAUAAGCCUGGACAUCUGUUUUCAGUGUCACUAAUGAAUAUCAGCGAUCAAUCUGUGAUCAAAGGAGAAAAAGAAACUAGCAGGGUGUGGGUAGCUCCAGGCUGCAGAGGCCUGAGCGCAUUCAUUAACUUGAAGGGAC